CGUGGCACGGGCUUCUCUGCUGCGCUGAGACAGGGCCAGUGGUGGGGGCUUGGCAGGAAUCUGCAUAAAUGAUUGAUCCAGGUGAGUGGCACACACCAUCCUCAUUAAACUAUCAGUGGGGCUGGAAAUGAAAAAGAUUCAUGUCUGCUGCAGGAGGCUUUCAGGGAUCAAUAUGUUCCAACAUAUGUUUUAAUACUUACUCAGUUCUCACACGUGUCUCAUGGGAUUUCUUUAUUUAUCUUUUUUCCCCAAGGUUAUGAAGCCAACUGUUUUUUAUGUGCUCUGAGGCAGGGACCUGAUUUUCAUAAUAAAUCUCUUUCCUAGAAGGUGGAAAGCAUGAAGCUGUGUUUCUUAUCCAAAGAGAGCAUGAUCAGAUUACGCUGUGCACAGAGCCCCGGCUGCUCCCGCUGUGUGUUGCUGGAGUGCUCUGCACACCUUUGGGGAGAUUAUUGUUUCAAAAGGGGCUGAACACAACUCUUGCUUGUCAGUGCUUCUGGAACAUUUUCUUCUCCCUUUAUCUCUCCUUUUCCCGAGGAUGCCGUGCUUUGAUGUCUCUGUAACACAGAUCACACUGACACUGAGAGAACCAUCGGGUUUUCUUUCUCCCGGAGAAGAUAAACAACUGAAUUUUAAACCAGACUCAGCAACUAACAUGACAUUGUGAAGGACACACCAGCACUUAUCAUCUCUCCAGAUGAGUUGAUCUCUCCUGGCAUCAAGGACAAUAUGCUCCCACUCCCUCUUCCCAGCCACGCUGGCUUGUGACAGCACGUGUGUGCCCACGGGCCCUAGGAGGGGGAUGGCCACUGUCCCCAGCCCAGGGCAGUGCCUGGGUGCUCGGACAGCCACGGGCAGAACCGACAGCACUGGCUCAUCCGGGUGAGGACUUUGCUGCUGAAUAUAAAGUAGCAUCAAAAGCUGCAGGAAGAUCUCCCUGGAACCUUCUCUCCCCUUCAGCAUUUGGAGGUUCUGAAUUUCCCAGCGAGAAUGGACAAACAGCCCCUCAGACCGUGGGACACGACUCCCCCUGCUCCACAGCCCUGCAGUGGCUCAGGAGCAACGCAUGGUUUUGGAAGUGCCCUUUCUCACCAGCACCACGGACCCUGCAGAUAAAGAGCAUAAACCCAGGCUGGGAACACAGAGGUCACUCAGUGCAAUGAGAUCUCUGGGUAAGAUGAAUCAGAUGAGCCAUUUUCAGGACAUUAAGAUUGUUUACAAAUCCAGUCAAUUUUUAUUUCGUUUUGAAUGAAUUUGUGUACGUAUUUUCUUUUGCCCUCUGCAAGCACAGUCAUCCUUUCUGAUCUCCUUCCAUCUCUCCCUGGUAUUUUCAUCUUGCUAACAGGAUUACAUUUACCCUGCCAGGCUAUAGCAGGCACCCAGUUUCGUUCAGACUUCCACUGCUUCCCUACCAACAUGCUGCUAUUAGCAAAUGUCAGCCCUGGAGCAGGGAGGUGUGAGAGAAGGAAGGAGUAAAACAAGAGAGGGGGGUGGGGGGAAAGAAAAUGAAGAAGAGAGUUAAUAGCAGCUGUUGGGAGCACAGAGUUGCUGGUGAGCUCCUGGGGCUGGGCACACCGUGGUGUGAGGGGUAGGGAGAGGGGAGCCCCUGCCACAGCCCCGUUCCAUCCUGCUGGGCCCUCGCGGGUGGGCUGGGGCUGAGCAUCACCCACAGCAGCCUGGGGAGAGCAGGGAGGGCCAGGGGGGCCUGGGGGGCUGGCCAGUGCUGCACAUCCUCACACGGUGCUGGCUGCCAGCACCAA